rnacentral:rRNA from 1 species
GUAGGGUGCGAGCGUUGUCCGGAAUUACUGGGCGUAAAGGGCUCGUAGGUGGUUUGUCGCGUCGUCUGUGAAAUUCCGGGGCUUAACUCCGGGCGUGCAGGCGAUACGGGCAUAACUUGAGUACUGUAGGGGUAACUGGAAUUCCUGGUGUAGCGGUGAAAUGCGCAGAUAUCAGGAGGAACACCGAUGGCGAAGGCAGGUUACUGGGCAGUUACUGACGCUGAGGAGCGAAAGCAUGGGUAGCGAACAGGAUUAGAUACCCUGGUAGUCCAUGCCGUAAACGGUGGGCGCUAGGUGUGAGGGUCUUUYCACGACUUUCGUGCCGUACCUAACGCAUUAAGCGCCC